rnacentral:rRNA from 1 species
CCUACGGGUGGCAGCAGUGAGGAAUAUUGGUCAAUGGACGCAAGUCUGAACCAGCCAUGCCGCGUGCAGGAAGACGGCUCUAUGAGUUGUAAACUGCUUUUGUACGAGGGAAAACGCAGAUACGCGUAUCUGUCUGCAAGUAUCGUACGAAUCAGGAUCGGCUAAAUCCGCGCCAGCAGCCGCGGUAAUCCGGAGGAUUCAAGCGUUAUGCGGAUUUAUUGGGUUGAACGUGUGCGUAGGCGGUCGGAUAAGUUAGAGGGGAAAUCCCGAGGCUCAACUUCGGAGUUGGCUUUUAUACUGUUCGGCUAGAGAGGAGUUGCGGUAGGCGGAAUGUAUGGGGUAGCGGGGGAAUGCUUAGAGAACAUACAGAACACCGAUUGCGAAGGCAGCUUACCAGGCUACUUCUGACGUUGAGGCACGAAAGCGUGGGGAGCAAACAGGAUUAGAUACCCGGGUAGUCC